AGAGUUUGAUCCUGGCUCAGAACGAACGCUGGCGGCAUGCCUAACACAUGCAAGUCGAACGAGACCUUCGGGUCUAGUGGCGCACGGGUGCGUAACGCGUGGGAAUCUGCCCUUGGGUUCGGGAUAACAGUUGGAAACGACUGCUAAUACCGAAUGAUGUCUUCGGACCAAAGAUUUAUCGCCCAGGGAUGAGCCCGCGUAGGAUUAGCUUGUUGGUGAGGUAAGAGCUCACCAAGGCGACGAUCCUUAGCUGGUCUGAGAGGAUGAUCAGCCACACUGGGACUGAGACACGGCCCAGACUCCUACGGGAGGCAGCAGUGGGGAAUAUUGGACAAUGGGCGAAAGCCUGAUCCAGCAAUGCCGCGUGAGUGAUGAAGGCCUUAGGGUUGUAAAGCUCUUUUACCCGGGAUGAUAAUGACAGUACCGGGAGAAUAAGCCCCGGCUAACUCCGUGCCAGCAGCCGCGGUAAUACGGAGGGGGCUAGCGUUGUUCGGAAUUACUGGGCGUAAAGCGCGCGUAGGCGGCUUUGUAAGUUAGAGGUGAAAGCCCGGAGCUCAACUCCGGAAUU
rnacentral:rRNA from 1 species